AUUGAACGCUGGCGGAAUGCUUUACGCAUGCAAGUCGAACGGCAGCACGGGGGCAGCCCUGGUGGCGCGUGGCGCACGGGUGAGUAAUACAUCGGAACGUGCCCGGUCGUGGGGGAUAACGUAGCGAAAGUUACGCUAAUACCGCAUACGAUCUGAGGCUGAAAGCGGGGGACCUUCGGGCCUCGCGCGCUCGGAGCGGCCGAUGUCAGAUUAGGUAGUUGGUGGGGUAAAGGCCUACCAAGCCGACGAUCUGUAGCUGGUCUGAGAGGAGGACCAGCCGCACGGGAACGGGGACACGGCCCAGACGCCUGCGGGAGGCAGCAGUGGGGAAUGUUGGGCAAUGGGCGCAAGCCUGAUCCAGCGAUUCCGCGUGCAGGACGAAGGCCUUGGGGUUGUAAACUGCUUUUGUACGGAACGAAAAGGCUCUGGCUAAUACCUGGGGCUCAUGACGGUACCGGAAGAAUAAGCACCGGCUAACUACGUG
rnacentral:rRNA from 1 species